UCGAAUUUCUCAUUUUUCAAUUUUAGGUCUUCAUCAUCUAUAUUAGUAUUUAUGAUUCAUUUUUCGAUUUUAGUUUGUUUGUCGGAGUUCGAACUUGGAAAAACUGAUCUUCACUCCCAGUUAAUCGUGAGAAAGCAUUUGUUCUAGUUUGUUUUUAGAUUUGUUUUCAGAUGCAGAUGGGAAUGAAGUUGAUAAGGUGAUUGAGAAGCUAAAAGAGGUUGGGAUUGCUUCUGGUAGUGUUGAUGGUGUUGUUCUAACUACUUCUAAGGAGGAAACAACUGAAGAACUUAGGAGGAAGAAGAAGAGAAGGCCGAGGAAAGAAUUGAAGAGGUUGCCGAAAUUUCUUUUUUCUUUCCUGCAAAUGAGAAAGAUUGUGUUUGAUAUCGUCGAGACUAGCACUGGAUCAGCAGCUGGACCAAUCAUCUCCCAUGCAGGCAAACAAAUACUAGACAUAGUACCUGGAGAGGUCCUCUUAGAUUCUUUCAGUGCUUACAGCAAGCUAGGUUAUGGAUGCAGCUGAAGUUGCCGAAAAACAAGCUCUUUCUGCUUCAUCCAAAACUGCAACCAAAAUGGCUUGCGAUAGAUGAGGAUGCUCAAAAGAAUCUAAACAUAUAAUUGAUUGAUUUUACUGGCACUUACAGAAGAAAUGUUUUUUUCUAAUCUUAAGGAAAGCAGCUGAGGCGAACAAAGAUAACCUAUCCACUCUAAGGGUAUGGUUAGUUAUAGAAUAUGUUCAUGUUGUUUGUAACACACAGAAUUUGUAUUCCCUUAGGACAUAGGAAUGAACUUAUAAUGAUUUAAGUGAGAAUGAAACUGAACUUACGAAAUUUCAAUGUAUUCCCUUAAAAAAAAAA